rnacentral:rRNA from 1 species
ACUGCUCAGUAACACGUGGAUAACAUGCCCUUGGGUCCGGCAUAACCCCGGGAAACUGGGGAUAAUUCCGGAUAACGCACAUAUGCUGGAAUGCUUUAUGCGUCAAAUGGAUUCGUCUGCCCAAGGAUGGGUCUGCGGCCUAUCAGGUAGUAGUGGGUGUAAUGUACCUACUAGCCGACAACGGGUACGGGUUGUGAGAGCAAGAGCCCGGAGAUGGAUUCUGAGACAUGAAUCCAGGCCCUACGGGGCGCAGCAGGCGCGAAAACUUUACAAUGCGGGAAACCGUGAUAAGGGGACACCGAGUGUCAGCAUCAUAUGCUGGCUGUCCAGGGGUGUAAAAUACACCUGUUAGCAAGGGCCGGGCAAGACCGGUGCCAGCCGCCGCGGUAACACCGGCGGCCCGAGUGGUGAUCGUGAUUAUUGGGUCUAAAGGGUCCGUAGCCGGUUUGGUCAGUCCUCCGGGAAAUCUGAUAGCUCAACUAUUAGGCUAUCGGGGGAUACUGCCAGGCUUGGAACCGGGAGAGGUAAGAGGUACUACAGGGGUAGGAGUGAAAUCUUGUAAUCCCUGUGGGACCACCUGUGGCGAAGGCGUCUUACCAGAACGGGUUCGACGGUGAGGGACGAAAGCUGGGGGCACGAACCGGAUUAGAUACCCGGGUAGUCCCAGCCGUAAACGAUGCUCGCUAGGUGUCAGGCAUGGCGCGACCGUGUCUGGUGCCGCAGGGAAGCCGUGAAGCGAGCCACCUGGGAAGUACGGCCGCAAGGCUGAAACUUAAAGGAAUUGGCGGGGGAG